rnacentral:rRNA from 1 species
AANAUGUUCGGAUCUUCGGCGGGACAUUGAGUGCGCGGGAUGCGUUCGAGUAGGUUUACACACCCCUCAAUUAACCCCCAAUGGUUAAGGGGUGGGAACAUACAGGGUGAUUAAAAUCUGGUUGGUUCCCACACCCUUUCGCGCUUAAUGGUAAGGCUGAGGCACAGAGCCACCGCUUUCGCACACGGGCGUUCUUCCUAGUAUCUUACACCCUUUUACACGCGUUCACACAGAGGAAAUUCCGUGCACUUUUCCAUGCCUUCACAUGCUGNCGCAGCGNUUAUNGGCAUUCCCAUGGGGUAGAGCCAGAGGGCUUUAAAACAAGAGACUUGAACAGAACCAGCUUANACACCUCCUUAACCCCCAANUAAAUUCCGAGANAACGGCUUGGCCACCCUUACGUCUUACCGCGGCUUGCUUGGCACAGUAAGUUAUGCNGGGGGCUUAUCUUUCGCCGGUACCGUCAUCCGGGUAACCUUAUUCAGGUCCCCUCUUUCGUACCCGGGCAAANAUNUGGUUUACAAAACNCAAAGCUUUCUUACCACANCNCNGGGUUUNNUGNGGCUAUGGGCUGCANCCCAUUAAGACAANAUUACUCAUUCCUUGCCUUACNNUAAGCCGGGGCGCNGGGGCCGACGGACCNGCNCCGC